rnacentral:lncRNA from 1 species
CUACAUCAGCAAGUUGAUUCAAUAAUCCAUCCUCUGUUUUGCCCCUCGUUGGUUAGUUAUUCAGUUAUGGGCCGGGGUGGGAGUGGGAGUAUUGAUGGCUGUUUGUUCUUCACAAAGUUUUGGGUGAAAGAGCAAAUUGGCAGCAAUUAGUGAGAUCCUACUGGUGGUGGUUUGCGAGUACACGUGAAUAGGAAAUCAGAUGAGAUCAAAUCUCAUGAUUCCAUCUCGUCCCGGUCCUCGGCGGACGGGGUGUCAGGGUGAGUUGUUCGUUUGUUCGGCCCUCAUUUCGUGGUGUUCAUGAAAUGUGCAACACAUGUACCAUGAAGGGGGUUAUUUAGUUUCAUUUUCUCGAAAUAUACCAUACUCUCUCCAUAUCAAAAUAUAUUCUAAAAUAUAAGGCAUUUUUUAUUGUUCAUAAAUCUCUCAUAAAAUAUUUAGUCCAUGGUUACAAAUCAUAAUAUACGAAAGUGAGUUUGAAUAUGGAUAUAAGAGUGUCUAUUUUAUGUACUUUAAAUUAUGCUUUAUUUGACUAAUUAUAGGUCAAAGAUUAUUAACAGCGACUAACACAAAUACUGGCAUUGCACUACGUGCAUAUCAACAUUUAAAAAAUAUUAAGUGCUAAUGUACAUUAUUAUGAUUCUUAACAGAGGAAUGAGUGUGAAGCUCAAGACCCCAUUUAAUGGAGCCGUCUAUGAUGCAUGCGAUGAGGUCUUAUUAUUGAUGAUGCCAUGUACUACAUUUUGUUUGCAUAAUCCAUCACCUAGCAUGUAUUUGUUAUAACCGAGCACCGCAACGAAUCUGUUAUUUACCUUAGGAGGGUAAGAAAAAACACAAUCAAUGAUAUUAUACAUAAUUCUAGACAUUGUUUUAGAGUAUGUUCUGAAGUAUAUUUUUCUUUCAGUAAAUGUUGGAAAUGUCUAUGUACUUUUUUCUCCCAAUAUGUUAUGGUCAUCUUCCUGCUAUGCAUAUGAAUUUCAUGGCCAACUUAGCAGCUGGUGGUUGGUGAUCCUUUCUACUUCCUCGCCGGCUCGAUAAAUCUCCCGGUUUCCUUCUCCUACCACUCUUCCUCCCUUGUGCUCUGUAACUUGGCCAUUGAUGUGGAUGUUAGUAAUUAGAUGGUGAUAUUUGUUUUAUAGAAAUACUUAUUUUUUUGCGGGUGUUUAGAAAUACUUGUUAGUUGCACAGAUGGAUCCUGCAAGGAAUAAUUUUACAAUGGAAAUGCAUAUCUAUUGAAUUGAUGACUAAACAAGUUUGCGGGCACAUCUAUGAAAAUACAGGCAAAUACAGACAUAGGUUUAAGGGUUCUCAUUCAUUUAAAUCUCAAUGUUGAGAGAAGCCGAUCUCUGGAUA